AUUAACGCUGGCGGUGUGCAUAACACAUGCAAGUCAAACGGGCUUGUUGCGAUUACAUCAAGACAAGCUAGUGGCAAACGGGUGCGUAACACGUUGGAACCUCCCCCGAACACGGGCAUAACUCACCGAAAGGUGGACUAAUUCCCGAUAGUCUCGUGAGAGUAAAGACGCAAGUCGGUUCGGGAAGGGCCUGCGGCCUAUCAGCUAGUUGGCAGGGUAACAGCCUACCAAGGCUAUGACGGGUAGCUGGCGUGAGAGCGCGACCAGCCACAGGGCAACUGCGACACGGUGCCCACUCCUACGGGAGGCAGCAGUGAGGAAUCUUCCGCAAUGGGCGAAAGCCUGACGGAGCAACACCGCGUGGGGAAUGAAGGGCUUCGGCCUGUAAACCCCUUUUCUGGGGGAAGAAUUCUGACGGUACCCCAGGAAUAAGCACCGGCUAACUCUGU
rnacentral:rRNA from 1 species